rnacentral:rRNA from 1 species
GACGAACGCUGGCGGCGUGCUUAACACAUGCAAGUCGAACGGAAAGGCCCUUCUUUUGUGGGGUGCUCGAGUGGCGAACGUGUGAGUAUCACGUGUGUAACCUGCCCUUGACUUUGUGAUAACUUCAGGUAACUGGUUCUAUUACCGGAUAGGAGCUCCUGCUGCAUGGUGUGGGUUGGAAAGUUUCGGCGGUUGGGGAUGGACUCGCGGCUUAUCAGCUUGUUGGUGGGGUAGUGGCUUACCAAGGCUUUGACGGGUAGCCGGCCUGAGAGGGUUAACGGCAAAAAUGGGACUGAGAUACGGAACAGAAUGCAACGGGAGGCAGCAGUGGGGAAGAUUGCAGAAUGGGAGGAAGCCUGAUGAAGCAACGCCGCGUGCGGGAUGACGGGCUUCGGGUUGUAAACAGCUUUAGCAUGUGACGAAGCGUGAGUGACGGUAAUGGGUAAAGAAGCACCGGCUAACUACGUG